GAUGAACGCUGGCGGCGUGCCUAAUACAUGCCAGUCGAGCGAACAGAUGAGGAGCUUGCUCCUCUGACGUUAGCGGCGGACGGGUGAGUAACACGUGGAUAACCUACCUAUAAGACUGGGAUAACUUCGGGAAACCGGAGCUAAUACCGGAUAAUAUAUUGAACCGCAUGGUUCAAUAGUGAAAGACGGUUUUGCUGUCACUUAUUGAUGGAUCCGCGCCGCAUUAGCUAGUUGGUAAGGUAACGGCUUACCAAGGCAACGAUGCGUAGCCGACCUGAGAGGGUGAUCGGCCACACUGGAACUGAGACACGGUACAGACUCCUACGGGAGGCAGCAGUAGGGAAUCUUCCGCAAUGGGCGAAAGCCUGACGGAGCAACGCCGCGUGAGUGAUGAAGGUCUUCGGAUCGUAAAACUCUGUUAUUAGGGAAGAACAAAUGUGUAAGUAACUAUGCACGUCUUGACGGUACCUAAUCAGAAAGCCACGGCUAACUACGUG
rnacentral:rRNA from 1 species